rnacentral:lncRNA from 1 species
UUUUAUAGGUGGCUGGCCAGACCACCUUUGGCAGCCGAACGUGAAUCCGAAACCAUGCAAUGUUCGGCGGCCGAAAGUGACCUUCGGCGGCCGAACCUUUGCAUUUCUCCCUUGUUGCUUUUCUUUCAAAACUCAUUUCCUUUAACACUUUAAAACAUUCAAAACCCUUAAAAACACACAUGAAAACAUAUGUCUUACC